rnacentral:rRNA from 1 species
AGUGGCGGACGGGUGAGUAACGCGUGAGAAUCUGCCUUGGGGUCGGGGACAACCACUGGAAACGGUGGCUAAUACCGGAUAAGCCGAUUGGUGAAAGAUUUAUUGCCCGAAGAGGAGCUCGCGUCUGAUUAGCUAGUUGGUGAGGUGAGAGCUCACCAAGGCAGCGAUCAGUAGCUGGUCUGAGAGGACGAUCAGCCACACUGGGACUGAGACACGGCCCAGACUCCUACGGGAGGCAGCAGUGGGGAAUUUUCCGCAAUGGGCGAAAGCCUGACGGAGCAAGACCGCGUGAGGGAGGAAGGCUCUUGGGUUGUAAACCUCUUUUCUCAGGGAAGAAGCUCUGACGGUACCUGAGGAAUCAGCCUCGGCUAACUCCGUGCCAGCAGCCGCGGUAAUACGGAGGAGGCAAGCGUUAUCCGGAAUUAUUGGGCGUAAAGCGUCCGCAGGUGGCGAUUCAAGUCUGCUGUCAAAGCACGGGGCUUAACUCCGUAAAGGCAGUGGAAACUGAAUAGCUAGAGUGCCGUAGGGGUAGAGGGAAUUCCCGGUGUAGCGGUGAAAUGCGUAGAGAUCGGGAAGAACAUCGGUGGCGAAAGCGCUCUACUGGACGGCAACUGACACUCAGGGACGAAAGCUAGGGGAGCGAAUGGGAUUAGAUACCCC